rnacentral:rRNA from 1 species
GGGCGCUGAAGGUUGGUACUUGUACCGACUGGAUGAGCAGCGAACGGGUGAGUAACGCGUGGGGAAUCUGCCUUUGAGCGGGGGACAACAUUUGGAAACGAAUGCUAAUACCGCAUAAAAACUUUAAACACAAGUUUUAAGUUUGAAAGAUGCAAUUGCAUCACUCAAAGAUGAUCCCGCGUUGUAUUAGCUAGUUGGUGAGGUAAAAGCUCACCAAGGCGAUGAUACAUAGCCGACCUGAGAGGGUGAUCGGCCACAUUGGGACUGAGACACGGCCCAAACUCCUACGGGAGGUAGCAGUAGGGAAUCUUCGGCAAUGGACGAAAGUCUGACCGAGCAACGCCGCGUGAGUGAAGAAGGUUUUCGGAUCGUAAAACUCUGUUGGUAGAGAAGAACGUUGGUGAGAGUGGAAAGCUCAUCAAGUGACGGUAACUACCCAGAAAGGGACGGCUAACUACGUGCCAGCAGCCGCGGUAAUACGUAGGUCCCGAGCGUUGUCCGGAUUUAUUGGGCGUAAAGCGAGCGCAGGUGGUUUAUUAAGUCUGGUGUAAAAGGCAGUGGCUCAACCAUUGUAUGCAUUGGAAACUGGUAGACUUGAGUGCAGGAGAGGAGAGUGGAAUUCCAUGUGUAGCGGUGAAAUGCGUAGAUAUAUGGAGGAACACCGGUGGCGAAAGCGGCUCUCU